CGUGGCCCCAUCCUAUGACGGUGUCCGUCGACGGAUCGUCCACCAUCCGAUAAGUCUUCAGCACGAAGGGAGCCGCCACCGAGCCCCCCCGGCCGCCGCCUUCACCAUGGCGGUGGUGAUAGUGAGCGGUGCUGUUGCGGCCUAGUCCCAAGCGAAGGGCGAAAAACAGGGAGAAGACGACGGAUACCAGUACCUCAUCCGACGCGUGUCCCUCAGCGGCCACUCCUCCAUGACUUCCCAUCCACCAAAUUUAUUAUUUAAACCUCCAAAGACGACGAAACACGAGUAGAAAUUUUUGACAUCGAUUGUAACUUCCUUCCAUCGUCGGAGUGAAAUUUAUUUCCCUAAAUCCACAAACUUUUCUUCUUCGAAUCUUUUUCACCGUAUCUUCUCUGGUAGAUCAAAAAGAUUAUGCAGCAAGGUGAUGAAAUGCGAUUGCGCCACGUACUGGCCAACGACAAAGCAUGUAAUGCAGCAACGACGUACAGAUCAUGCCCCAACCGCUCUAUGGUUCCACUCCAACGCUGCCGAAGAUGGCGGUGAUCCAGCUUUGCAAUGGGCUCAGCCGUCCGACAGGUGGAGUACCACUGUUGUGGAAGAAGUUUGACAGCACUGGUACUCAUGUUCCAUUCCAGCGAGCCGUGUAAACUGCCUCUUAAUUUGUGUUAUCUAAGUCAAAAUAAUAUGAAAACAAAAUUUCGGUGUAACUUUAUCAAUGCAAAUACGAGCAUAGCGCAUCAAUAAUACAUGA